GCCUGUACGGGCGCUGAAAUAAUUAAAAGGGUACUCAGAGGAAGGGGAGGCCUGGCGUUUCCUGAUAGGUGGGCCGGAAGGAGUACUUGGUGUAUGUCAG
rnacentral:rRNA from 1 species